GCCUCCUUAACUCAGUUUGGUAGAGUAUGAGACUCUUAAUCUCAGGGUCACGGGUUCGAGCCCCGUAGGAGGCU
rnacentral:tRNA from 1 species